rnacentral:rRNA from 1 species
GAUGGACGCUGGCGGCGUGCCUAAUACAUGCAAGUCGAGCGAACGGACGAGAAGCUUGCUUCUCUGAUGUUAGCGGCGGACGGGUGAGUAACACGUGGAUAACCUACCUAUAAGACUGGGAUAACUUCGGGAAACCGGAGCUAAUACCGGAUAAUAUUUUGAACCGCAUGGUUCAAAAGUGAAAGACGGUCUUGCUGUCACUUAUAGAUGGAUCCGCGCUGCAUUAGCUAGUUGGUAAGGUAACGGCUUACCAAGGCAACGAUGCAUAGCCGACCUGAGAGGGGGAGCGGCCCCACCGAAACUGGAACCCGGGCACGCCCCCUCCGGGGGGCCCACGGAGGAAAUUUUCCGAAGUGGGCGAAAGCCUGCGGGGGCAACCCCGGGUGGGGGAGGAAGGUCUUCGGUUCGUAAAACCCUUUUUUUAGGGAAGAACAAUUGUGUAAGUAACUGUGCCCAUCUUGCCGGUACCAAAUCAAAAAGCCCCGGCUAACUCCGU